GUCUUUGUAGCUCAGUUGGUAGAGCGUUGCACUGAAAAUGCAAAGGUCUCUAGUUCAAAUCUAGACGAAGACACCA
rnacentral:tRNA from 1 species